UAUACUAUGUCUCAAUCCAUCGAAGAUACUCCACUUGAGAGUAAUGUCCUUGUUGUCCAAAGAGCUCUCAACGUGCAAGUUAUGAGUGAAGACAACGAGUAGAGGAAGAAUAUUUUCCACACGUGAUAUCUUAUCAAUGGUAAGGUAUGUGGAAUGCUCAUUGACAAUGGUAAUUCUGCUAAUGUGGCAAGAACUUUACUCUUAGAAAGAGCAGGAUUGAC
rnacentral:lncRNA from 1 species